rnacentral:tRNA from 1 species
GGAAGUCAGGCGACUAUCGGUUCGUCGCACCGGCGUGCUAAGCCGGCCGGCCGAAAGCCGGGGCGGGUUCGACUCCCGCGUCUUCCG